rnacentral:rRNA from 1 species
CAAUAGCGUAUAUUAAAGUUGUUGCAGUUAAAAAGCUCGUAGUUGGAUUUCGGGACGGGCCAGUUGGUCCGCCGCAAGGUGUGUUACUGACUGGUCUGUUCUUCUUCGCAAAGACUGCGUGUGCUCUUCGUUGAGUGUGCGUAGGAUUUACGACGUUUACUUUGAAAAAAUUAGAGUGUUCAAAGCAGGCUAUCGCUUGAAUACAUGAGCAUGGAAUAAUGGAAUAGGACUUUGGUCCUAUUUUGUUGGUUUCUAGGACCGAAGUAGUGAUUAAGAGGGACAAUUGGGGGCAUCCGUAUUUCGUUGUCAGAGGUGAAAUUCUUGGAUUUACGAAAGACGAACAACUGCGAAAGCACUUGCCAAGAGUGUUUUCAUUAA